rnacentral:rRNA from 1 species
AUUGAACGCUGGCGGCAUGCCUAACACAUGCAAGUCGAACGGAGCGGCGGACGGGUGAGUAAUGCAUCGGAAUGUGCCCGGUAGUGGGGGAUAACGACGGGAAACGGGCGCUAAUACCGCAUACUAUUGGAUGCGCCUAGGUGGGAUUAGCUAGUUGGUGGGGUAAAGGCCUACCAAGGCGACGAUCCGUAACUGGUCUGAGAGGACGAUCAGCCACACUGGGACUGAGACACGGUCCAGACUCCUACGGGAGGCAGCAGUGGGGAAUAUUGGACAAUGGGCGAAAGCCUGAGCCAGCCAUGCCGCGUGUGUGAAGAAGGUCUUCGGGUUGUAAAGCACUUUAAGUUGGGAGGCGGUACCAACAGAAUAAGCACCGGCUAACUACGUGCCAGCCGCCGCGGUAAUUC